UGUCUCCCUGGGGGAGGGGGACAGACGUGGUGGGCAUAUGGAUUUGAGGAAGGGAGGGGGUCAGGGCAGGAGGGGUGGAUGAAGGGAAGCAAGGAUCCACGCACCCUGGCCUCCUCAGCUCUUGGGCGUUCCCUCUCUAUGAAGCACUGUGGUAGACAAGAGAGGCUCUGUUAGGUAAGGCUGGUCAGGAGGCCUCACACACACACACACACACACACACACACACACGAUACCACACCAGGCUUGCCAGCUCUCCCGGCUCAGUCUCUACCAGAUGGAGAUGGCGGGACCUGCACCAGGAAGCCCUUCUACACCAGGGAGCCCUCCUGUCCCAGCCUGCCUCUGCCCAGUUCCUACCCUGGCACAGUUGUCAAAACCUGGCACGCCAGGGAUGCCCUGGUCCCCCUUUUCUCCUUUCUCCAGAAGGAAGGCUGGAUGAGCCGUCUGGCCCUGGGCACAGUCACCACAGAUGCUCUGAUGGGGAAAACGGAAAGGACAGAAGGACCCAGCCACAUCCCUGCAGCAGCUCCGCUCUGUCCUCAGGGGACCCGAUCACAGCAAUUGGCUCUGAGUCUCCUCCAGGAAGAGGCUCAGGUAGGGCCAAGCCAGAGCGCUUUCCAGACAGGAGUGUGGGAGGAGGCGGAGGGACCCGCGGAGGGACCAUCUGUCCCGCCUGUUCCUGCAACCUGCACCCGCCGCGAGGACAAGCCCCAAGGAUCCAGGAUGAAAAAGCUGGCUCCUGGUGCCAGCACCUCUGCCUGGGGAUGCCAGGAGACAGCCGCAGGAGGAGGCCCUCGAUGGAUGUUCCUGGGGAGGGCCUGCAGCUCAACAACUGUCACAGGCUCCACAGGUCCCUGGGUCUGAACUGUCUGUCCUUAUAGGAAAGGCUUUCUCUGGAUCAGGCACUGCCCUUGUUUGGUCACAGACUCUGAGAGAUGAUAGAGCCCUUGGGAGCCUGGAGCUUCUCUGUUGCAGGCGUGGUGCUGGGGUCCGAGGCAGGAGCCCCACGCUCACUUUCACUAUUCCUAGUAACAUCAAUACCAACGGCCAUUUGCACAGCAGCCAUAAGGCCACGGGUUAUAAUGGGCCUUGGCACAUUCAGUCCCAGGGCACAGAGAGGCUGCUUAUGUUAUGAGCAUUGUAGAGAUAAGAAAGCCGAUAUUCAAAAGAGGCAGUGUGAUUUGUCCAGGUAAGCCCGGAUUGGUCCCUGCCUGACUGUCUGGAGUCAGCACUUUCUCUGGGCUGCGGACACAGUGACCACUGUCUCCCGGCCAGCUCCCCUGGCUGCCGUCUGACUUCUCUUACAGGCUGAGUUCAGUUCCUGUGUCAGACUUUUUGUGGAGCCCUUGAUUACAAAGCCAGCAAGUGAGAUGUUAGAAGUGUGACCCAUCUGGGGUUGGAGUCACACCAUCACUGCCUGGAGGGCAGGGCCUGGGGGACUCAGGCUCCCCUGAGACCAGGAGAGAAGGGGGUGGGUGGUCUCCUUGCUGUAACCUCACUGUGCUGCAGCUCAGGGCUGGUGCAAGCUGCUUCUGGAAACAUCCACGGUUCAGAGGGGCAGGGCAGGCAGCCCUUAUACUGUGCCCUGACCAGAGCUCCCUGGGGUGGCAUAAUGUCCACGACACUGACCAGCCUGUGCCCAAGAGAGAAGCUAGAGGAGGCUUCAUGGGGAAGGGUGUCCUGAGGCUGCCGCACUCCUAGAGAGGGGUGCAGGAGCUUGAAGUGAGCCUGCAGGAAUGACCCAGCCCAUGUCACUUCUAAAGGUGAAUAAACAGGGGGGAGAGGAGACUGUAGGAAGCCUGAGGCUCCAGAGAACUUGGUCAGUCAGACCAGACAGCCCUUUGGCAGGACCGCAGGCCAACUCUCCUCCACAGCUGCUUUUUUUUUUUAAAGUCCCUCCCCCUGCUGAAGUCUUUUUAAACUGACACCCACCCACUCCCCAUAUCACUUCACUGUCACACUCUGUGUGAUGCCAUGGUGGCUUUUGCGGACCCAGGUGCUAGGGUGCUUCUUUGGCAACUGAUGCGAGCUGACUUCAGGCUGGGUUCUGUCACCAGGAGCGCUGCAGGUGGGGGGAUUUGCAGCCUUCCUUUAAGCAUUCACUCAAUAAAUGCUGCCUAGAGGGUGGUUCCAAAGCCAGAGGCCCAGCCAAGCCCUCUCAGACAGCUGCUUAGGAGGUCCUUCCCCCAACGCAGGGUGCCAGCAGGCUCAACCUGCUGCUGUUAGGUGGCAGGCAGCUGAGCGCCUGCUGUGAGAAUCCCGUUGGUGACACCUGCCAGCGGCCCUCUUACCUUGAGGAGGUGUUUCUCGAUGGGUAAGGAUCCCUGUGAGAGACAGAUACACACAGCUUCUAGCUGGCCGGGAGGGGAAGUUUACACAGCCUAGAGGAGCAGAAGGAGGACCCCCACCAGAGCUAACGGGGCUGAGUGGCCAGCUCAUUCCCAGGGAGGGCAGGAAGGACGAUGGCCAGUGUGUCCUGGCUGAUACCCACCAGCUCGGCAGUGAGCCCGGGCUGUCCUGGCAAACCAUUGUGUCCAGGCACUCCCUGAAGCAGAAAAGAAACAAGAGCUCAGAGACUCUUAGUGAUCUCCUUGCUAGGGCUCACAGCCCUGCCACCUGUCAGCCGCUCUUGCAUGGGUGGUAGCUCUGACUACUCUAGGCCUCAAGGUCUCCCACGGCUGGGGGCUGCGGGAGCCAAGGAGGCACAGAAGUGGAUGGUCCUUAAAAGUAGUUCCACUGGGAGCAUUUCCUUGUGCAGCAGGUCAGAAGCUAGACAGGGGGUCUUCAAUAGGGUGACUGCUGAGGGCUAUUCUAAGCUGCUUUCCCGUACUUUCUCAUUAAUCACCAUUGUAGUCUCCUGGAGGCUACAAGCGAUUUGUUGCAGUCCUGGAAACAAAGGGACUCAGAGAAGGUCAUAGGCUGAGUGAUACAGAUGUGUCACUGGGACUACUGGAGAGGACCACUGGCUCCCCAACCUUUCUUCAUCCCCUACUUGUGCCCCAUCCCUUGAAAGAUGUCCCUGCAGUAUUGGAUGCUUGCCAAUCGGAGCAUCUAGGUGCAAGUCCUCACCACCCAAGUAACUUUUGGAAGAGUAUGAGCCCAGCGCUGUGCCUCGGUUUCCUUCUCUGUAAGACGGUCAUCAUGCAGAGAUGGCUUCGAGGAAGUCAUGCUGCUGUGAGGGACACAGCACAGAGCCCCGAUGUAGGAUGUGCGGGGACACUCCUGUUAAGAGUUUGCCACCCAGCCUCUAGCUUCCUUGCAUGUUCACAUUGCACAUUUGCAUAUUAAAUACUCUGCUGAAGAA